GGUGGUGGUGACGCUGGGGAGGCAGUGGCGGCUCGUCAAUAGGGACUGCGAGACUGCAGCCCCCCCCAGUGGAUUUCUAGGAUUCACGAAAAUAAUGUUAAUUUAUUUAUGUUUGACUAUCAUUCACAUGAAAACACCAAUUCUCAUAUGUUUAUAUGACAAAAAAAAAUACUGCAAAACAAUGAGGAAAUACGGAAAUUAUUUACUAUUUAAUGAUAGGAAAGCGGGGAGAAAUGGGGGGGAGGCUUCCCUGGCGGAAUGGCGAGUGUGGACUGCAUCUAGCACAGUCUUGUGUCGGCCGUUGUUGUGGCUGGGUUCUUCCUUCAUCAAGCAGCACCAGAGAGACACAGCUACUUAAGUGUUGGCAAGGCUGUUCAGGGACAAAUUCUCUCUGCCAAAAUGCACCGUUACUGGCACUGUUCCAAGGAGGCACCAACACCGCCACUUACAAGAGAGACGAGCCGGCUACUAACAUUUUACAGGCAGAGUUACCGGCCC